GACGAACGCUGGCGGCGUGCUUAACACAUGCAAGUCGAACGGAAAGGCCCUGCUUUUGUGGGGUGCUCGAGUGGCGAACGGGUGAGUAAAACGUGAGUAACCUGCCCUUGACUUUGGGAUAAAUUCAGGAAACUGGGGUUAAUACCGGAUAGGAGGUGCUGCUGUAUGGUGGGGGUUGGAAAGUUUCGGCGGUUGGGGAUAGACUCGCGGCUUAUUAGCUUGUUGGUGGGGUAGUGGCUUACCAAGGCUUUGACGGGUAGUCGGCCUGAGAGGGUGACCGGCCACAUUGGGACUGAGAUACGGCCCAGACUCCUACGGGAGGCAGCAGUGGGGAAUAUUGCACAAUGGGCGGAAGCCUGAUGCAGCAACGCCGCGUGCGGGAUGACGGCCUUCGGGUUGUAAACCGCUUUCGCCUGUGACGAAGCGUGAGUGACGGUAAUGGGUAAAGAAGCACCGGCUAACUACGUG
rnacentral:rRNA from 1 species